GCCCGCGUAGCUCAGGGGAUAGAGCACAGGAUUCCUAAUCCUGGAGUCGUUGGUUCGAUUCCAACCGCGGGCACCA
rnacentral:tRNA from 2 species